UCCUUGUCCAAACUGAAGGCCCAUGAGCAAAGACGAGAGCAUGCAGCUCUCAGUUUGUUUACUGACCAUUUAAUGCACAUUACACACAAAAAAGCAAGCAUGGCAGAAAUCACCACGUCCAGUCUGAUCGCCAGCUGGGAACAAAGUCAUGUUAAGAGUCUACCAGUAUGAUACAGUGAGCACUGAGGAAAAACAAAUCUGCCAAAGUUUGCAAGCAAGAGACGGCAAGCAUCACCUCAUACCUGCUCUAUCUGGGGACUCUUUUCAAAAAGACUGACUGACAUUAAGUGUACUGUUUAUGUAUUUCACAUUAAUAUAUGCUAGAAACUCCAGAGAGCCUCGUGUGGAGCAGCAGAU